rnacentral:rRNA from 1 species
GAUGAACGCUGGCGGCGUGCUUAACACAUGCAAGUCGAACGGAGUUUAUAUGAAACCUAGUGAUUAUAAACUUAGUGGCGGACGGGUGAGUAACGCGUGGGUAACCUGCCUUAUACCGGGGGACAACAGUUAGAAAUGACUGCUAAUACCGCAUAAGCGCACGGUAUCGCAUGAUACAGUGUGAAAAACUCCGGUGGUACAAGAUGGACCCGCGUCUGAUUAGCCAGUUGGCAGGGUAACGGCCUACCAAAGCAACGAUCAGUAGCCGACUUGAGAGAGUGAUCGGCCACAUUGGGACUGAGACACGGCCCAGACUCC